AAUCAACGCUGGCGGCGCGCCUAACACAUGCAAGUCGAACGAGAACGGUUUCCGCUCUUAGCAAUAGGAGCGGGGCUUAGUAAAGUGGCGUACGGGUGAGUAACACGUGGAUAACCUACCCUUGAGUGGGGGAUAACCUGGGUAAACCCGGGCUAAUACCGCAUGACAUCUUGAUGGCUUAAGUCGUUGAGAUCAAAGGAGCAAUUCGCUAGAGGAGGGGUCUGCGGCCGAUUAGCUUGNGGCGGGGUAACGGCCCACCAAGGCAAUGAUCGGUAGCCGGUCUGAGAGGACGCACGGGCCACACUGGAACUGACACACGGUCCAGACUCCUACGGGAGGCAGCAGUGGGGAAUCUUGCACAAUGGGGGAAACCCUGAUGCAGCGACGCCGCGUGGGUGAUGAAGCUCUUCGGAGU
rnacentral:rRNA from 1 species